AUUUUCCGGUUGAUCCUGCCGGACCCCACUGCUAUCGGGAUAGGACUAAGACAUGCUAGUCAAGCGCUCUCUAGCCAACAAGAGAGUGCGGCGUACAGCUCAGUAACACGUGGCUAACCUGCCCUCGAGACGGAGACAACCCCGGGAAACUGGGGCUAAUCCCCGAUAGGCGAAGAGCUCUGGAAUGAACCUUCACCCAAAAAGCGAUUAGGUUAUGCUCCUGGUCGUCGCUCGAGGAUGGGGCCGCGACCGAUCAGGUUGUUGGUGAGGUAAUGGCUCACCAAGCCUUUGACCGGUGCGGGCCGUGGGAGCGGGAGCCCGGAGAUGGGCACUGAGACAAGGGCCCAGGCCCUACGGGGCGCAGCAGUCGCGCAAACUUUGCAAUACACGAAAGUGUGACAGGGCUAUCCCGAGUGCCGUCCGCUGAGGAUGGCUUUUAACCAGUCUAGAAAGCUGGUAGAAUAAGGAGAGGGCAAGUCUGGUGUCAGCCGCCGCGGUAAUACCAGCUCUCCGAGUGGUGUGGAUGUUUAUUGGGCCUAAAGCAUCCGUAGCUGGCCAAGCCAGUCCCCUGUUAAACCCAACGAAUUAAUCGUUGGAUUGCGGGGGAUACUGCUCGGCUAGGGGACGGGAGAGGCCGACGGUAUUCUCGGGGUAGGGGUGAAAUCCUAUAAUCCCGGGAAGACCACCAGUGGCGAAGGCUGUCGGCUAGAACGAGCCCGACGGUGAGGGAUGAAAGCUGGGGGAGCGAACCGGAUUAGAUACCCGGGUAGUCCCAGCUGUAAACGAUGCAGGCUAGGUGUUUGGACGGCCACGUGCCGUUCUAGUGCCGCAGGGAAGCUGUUAAGCCUGCCGCCUGGGGAGUACGAUCGCAAGGUUGAAACUUAAAGGAAUUGGCGGGGGAGCACCACAAGGGGUGAAGCUUGCGGUUUAAUUGGAUUCAACGCCGGAAAU
rnacentral:rRNA from 1 species